AUGGGAUUCCCGCAGGUUGCACCGCAGGAAGCAAGACAAAACCAGGGAGCUCAGAAGAGUCACUGCCCUGAUCCCCUCCGUGCCGGCAGCUGCGAGGACACAGGCCCCUUUGUAUCCUGCGGUGCGGAGGUGGAGCAGAGGAGAGGGUGCCCUGGCUGGCCCCCUCCCUCGCCCCGCAGCACUGCCCCUCCUUUCACAGCAACCCACGGCCUCCCCCGCGCUUGACCCAGCUGGCGAGCUGCCCCUUAUACCUGGAUCCGCCCCUCGGGACGCAGCUCCCCAGGCCCGAUCACCGAGCGGUGCCUAGGAACUGGGAGCGUAACUUGGCUCGGCUCAGAACUUUGCCCGUGAGCCAAAGAACACUGAACUCAUCUACCUGCUGCUUGACAUCUCAUCUGCAUACCAAGCUAUUUGGUGGACGUCCACAAGCGCCCCCGCCCCCACGUAGACCCAGUUGGGUCCCCGUUCCGUCGGUCCCCUCCUCUGCACACGCCUCUAGCCUUAUACCCCGUCUUGAUCCGAAAGUUUUUCCACCCAUGAACCCCCAGUUGGCGCUCCCCGACCAGCAAAAGCCCCUUCUCUGGUCCACGAUCCCGACCACCCGGUUCUCCAGAAGACAAUACUCCAAUUCUCUGGAAAGUGGAAGAAACCAAGCUGGAGCUAGGGGGGCGCUGGGACCCCUAUUGGGGCUUUGAGAGCUUCCGGUUGUCAUCUCCUAAGUAUUCGGAGACCCUUCCCCAAAACUCUUGGGGUGACCCUCAAGACUCUUACCUGCUACAUAGUUGGGGGUCUCUGGUCCUGGACUAGAGCAGUAGGCAACCUGGGUCCCCCCACACACACGGGAAAGAAUUGGAGGGGCCUGCCUUGUGAUGUCACCCCUCCUCCCCCCACCGCGCGCGCGCGCGCGCGCGCGCGCACACACACACACACACACACACACACCCCCCAACACACACUCCCUGUCCCCUUUCUCCACCCUGCAAGCUAGUUGCAUUUAGCUCACAGAGCCUGGGCUGCGACUUGAAAGAGUUUAGGCAGCAACAGAGUGACCCUGGGGGUGCUCUUGACCGACAGCCGCACCCCCGGCGUCUAGGACCUCCGAGCAGGGAUGCAUCUGGAGGUCUAGGGAAGCACUUCCACCCCCUCCUCUCCUCAACCCUGGCAGGAUGUGCCCGAAAUGCCAGCUCCUCCUU
rnacentral:lncRNA from 1 species